rnacentral:rRNA from 1 species
AUUGAACGCUGGCGGCAGGCUCAACACAUGCAAGUCGAGCGGGGUGAUGGUGCUUGCACUAUCACUUAGCGGCGGACGGGUGAGUAAUGCUUAGGAAUCUGCCUAUUAGUGGGGGACAACAUCUCGAAAGGGAUGCUAAUACCGCAUACGUCCUACGGGAGAAAGCAGGGGAUCACUUGUGACCUUGCGCUAAUAGAUGAGACUAAGUCGGAUUAGCUAGUUGGUGGGGUAAAGGCCUACCAAGGCGACGAUCUGUAGCGGGUCUGAGGGGAUGAUCCGCCACACUGGGACUGAGACACGGCCCAGACUCCUACGGGAGGCAGCAGUGGGGAAUAUUGGACAAUGGGGGGAACCCUGAUCCAGCCAUGCCGCGUGUGUGAAGAAGGCCUUAUGGUUGUAAAGCACUUUAAGCGAGGAGGAGGCUCUUUUGGUUAAUACCCAAGAUGAGUGGACGUUACUCGCAGAAUAAGCACCGGCUAACUCUGUGCCAGCAGCCGCCGUAA